UGUAGAUUAGUUUUAUGGAAAGAGCCCUAGAUUUAGAAUCUAGAGAAAAGAAUCUUUUAGAUUAUAGUCCUAAAUCUAUAA
rnacentral:tRNA from 1 species